ensembl:lincRNA
UGUGUUCGCGGCUCGGGUCAGCCUUCCACGGCAUCCUCCUGCCUCAGUUUCCCCCAGUCCUGGGAUUACAGACUUUAGGGAAGUCAUGAUUAAAAAUAAAUAGCCAGGCUGGUUGCACAUGCGUGCGAUUCCAGUGCUCACAAGGCAGAGAUGGGGAGGUCAAGACUAAUUUGAGGCUAGCCUGAUCUACAUAACAAGAUGCAGACCGGGCAGGGCUACAUAGUGAAACCUUGUCCCCUUCCAUCACUAAAAAAAAAAGAAGAGUGGGAGAGUGAAAGGACCAGCCGCGUGAAAGUGCUUACCACCAAGCCCGACAGCCUAACGUCAGAGUCAAUCCCCAGCACCCACACACGGAACAAAGCGAGCUCCUGAAGUUCUGCCAUUCCCCGUGGUCUGUAGUUCAGGAAGCUUCUGGAACAUACGGCGCCUCUGCCAUGGAAACACGAUCCGCGUCAUCAGCUUCAGAUGUGAUCUUGGAACGCUGAGUUCGCCUUGGCAGCUGUCCGAAAGUUAAUCCUGUGAAGGGACCUGAAGCAGCCCUCUGAGCCCUCGCUCACUCCUGCCUAAGAACAUCGCAGUAUGUUCAUUCCUCUUCCGCUGGCCUCGAGAUCCAAGCAGGAAAGAAGAGGGAAGAACUCUGAAGGACAUGAGAGAGACCCAGCUUACAGUCCAGACAAUAUUUGAAAGUGUCUUUUGCAUUCUCUGCGGAGUCUUCAAGUGCUGAAACACUGAGGGAAGGGCCAUGCCUAGUAGCUGUGUGUCACUAUGGACUCUGUGGUAUAGGAGACGGGCUCUGGCCAGUUGCCUUUGAAGAUGAACUUCGUUUCCAGACAGUUUUCACACAGGGCGGUAGAAGAUUUCUUACUGCUACACCUGCCACCCUAGCCCUGACCCUCGCCACCAGGCCGCCCAGCCAUAUUAGCUCAGAAGAUCCAUAAAGGGGCUGGAGCCCCAGUCCCCUCCCCUCUGCUUGAAGAUGUUAUUAAUUAGAGUUGUGCUAGGAUGCAGGAAUGACCUUGGGAAGGGGCACUUGGUGACUAAGCAAGAAUGGGCACGGGUGUGCUGACUCACCACACCCAGCUUGCAGGGGAGGCUGACUCGAGGACCACCCUCAGGGUGACCUUGGAGGUCUGCAGGUUCAGCUCCCGCAUUGCCUAGUCCUAUACCUGUUGGGGAAACCGUAACUUCGGAACUUAGUAGGCAGACAGUUUCUGGAGAUAACAUAGAGACAUGAAGGGGUACACUGAACUGGUCCCCAAGGGGUCCCCAGGUGAAGGUCACAGCCCUUCCUUUUCGCCUACGGCUGAGUUCUGGGUCCCACCAAGGAUAGAACUCCCCUUCCUCGUUGGCUAUGAAAAUGUCUUAAUGUCUCUAAAUCUCAAGUUGCCCUAUGGCCACAGCCCCGCUUCCAACCUUCUUCUAAAGCAAGUACGUUAAGAGAUGGAGAUGUCGCUCAAUUGGUAAGGUGCUUGCCUAGCGUGCACAGAGAAGCCCUGGCUCCCUUUUGCAAUUCUUCAGAAACCAGGUGUGGUGGUGCAUUCUUGUAAUCCCAGUACUUGGGAACAUGUGGGCAGGCCACAUCCGAAUCUGUUGUCUCCAGUGUACCCGACUCUGGCUCUGGAAAUAAGUUGCUAGGAUGUAAUCUGUGCUGAGUCUCUAGGACAGUGUCUCCAGUUGGACCUAGAAUGACUGUCCCGAGCCACAAUCAACAAGAAAUAGCACAAAGGGGUAGAAGAGACAGAGGUGGAGAAAGUGCAGGUUCUGAAGGGACAGAUGAAAGGUAAUCCAGGUUCAUUCUAAAGCGGGCAGGGCUUCCAGGGGCCUUCUCAAGACAUCAGUCUAGAGACCUGUAAAGAUCUACACCCUUGCUGAUCUUGGCAGCACACACCUGUAAUCCCAGCAAGGCAGGGCACCCAAGAGUUCAAAGUCAUCAUUGGCUACAAAGUGAGUGUGAGACUAGCCUGGGUAUCAUAAUUGAAGUCCUUCCUCAAAACAAACAAACAAACAAACAAAAGCUGUUUAGGCCCCGGGCUGUGUUUCUCAUUGCCCUACUCCCUGGUCUGAGGGCUCCCAGCUGUUGAGCCAGCUGUGUCUUCAUUGAGGUCCCUGACUGGCAUUCUGUCAUCUCCCAUCUGUGUGAGAGGAUCUCUUUUUGGGUUUUUUGUUUGUUUGGUUGGUUGGUUUGGUUUGGUUUUUUGAGACAGGGUUUCUCUGUGUAGCCCUGACUGUCCUGGAACUCACUUUGUAGACCAGGCUGGCCUCGAACUCAGAGAUCCGCCUGCCUCUGCCUCCCGAGUGCUGGGAUUAAAGGCGUUCGCCACCACGCCCGGCGAGAGGAUCUCUUAAGUAUACCUAAUUUGCAAGUGCUCACAGUGACCUGUGGGUCCCAGGCGGCGACUCAUUGAAUCUUCUCAACAAGCUUUGAAAUAAGUCUUUUGUGGCCUCCUGUUACAACUGAGGGAGAUAGAUGUAGAGAGCUUCCCUCAGCUCUCUCCGAUCCACGCAACUCCUGAGUGGAGGAGCCAGGACUCCAGUCUGCACCUUCCGUGACGCAGAUUCUGACAGCAGCCCGCAGUACAUACCUUGUGCACCCCGGUCCAGGAGCUAAGGCCAGCAGCUCACGGGCAAAGUGAGUCUCAGCCUGUAAAGAGAACAAGGCAGAUGUGCCUCCAGAGAGAAAAAAAGAACACAUGGAGAUGAAUUCCGGGCUUGGGGGCAAAAAGGAAACGUUUAAAUGUGUGUGUACCUUGUGAAAGAAUUACACUCCCCACCCCACCAUCACCAGAUGUGAUGACAGUACUUACAUAAGGUACUGUAUGUAGAUUGAACUCUGGACCUCACACAUUCUGGAAAGUGCUCUCCCACUAAGCCACAUCCCCAGCCCCUCACUGGGGGAUUCUGGGCAGGCGCUCUACUGCUGAGUCAUGUCCCGAACUCUCUUUUGACUUGAUUUUGAGACUAGGUCUUACUGAGUUGCCUAGGCUGGCCUGAAUCUCACUCUGUAGCCCAGGCUGGCCUUGGACUCACAUUUUUCCCCCCUGCUUAGCCUGCUGAGCCCCUGGGAUCAUAGAUUUGCCUUGUUAUACCCAUUUGCUGCUGCAGCUAAUACCUUUAAACCAGUCUUCCCCCACCCCAGAAAACCUUCCUAGCUUAGUAUUAUCUUAAAUCCAGUGAAGAGAACAGCAGCUUUUCCCUGUUCCUCCACAUGAGGGCGCUACACCACUCAGCCACGGGAUGAUGUGUUCAAGCCUCUCCCACAACCUUUAUGGGUGCAUUUCUUUUGUGUGUAUUCUCUAAUGAGAAGCACUGGGCCACCUCUGCAUGGUUUUUCUUGCCAAUUUCUCUUGUAGCCCUCUCUCCCAGCAGACAACCACAUUCAGCAGGCCUCUCACUUGUGCGCUGCCAUAGCCGUCGUUCCUUGUGACCAGCCAGAUGACUUAGAUAAUUGGGGAGUUUGAAAUGAAUGAGCUGAUACUAUCUGUAGGUUAGGAUUCUGACCAAAAGGUCUUCGGGGCUCUAGGGGAAGGGAUUAAGUGAAAUACCUUCCCGAGCAGAGGGCUUUUCUCCAGUGUGAAUUCUCUGACGUUGAAUGAGUUUCGUGAAUCUUGAAAGCCCUCACGUGGUCACUGUUGUUGGUAGAUUUCCGUUGUGCAAAAGUAGCCAGGGUGCUUGGAUGCUGGCUGAGUCCUCCCACACCCUCGGGACUCUCUCAGGUGAAUGUUGGAGCAGUGUUAGGAAACUGCUUUGUGUUCCUAACAGUCGAUAUUGCUUCCUGCUGUUACAACUGUUACAAUGUUGAAUAAAUAAACUUGAUCCAGACUC